rnacentral:rRNA from 1 species
CCUACGGGGAGCAGCAGUGGGGAAUAUUGGGCAAUGGGCGCAAGCCUGACCCAGCAACGCCGCGUGAAGGAAGAAGGCUUUCGGGUUGUAAACUUCUUUUAAGAGGGAAGAGCAGAAGACGGUACCUCUUGAAUAAGCCACGGCUAACUACGUGCCAGCAGCCGCGGUAAUACGUAGGUGGCAAGCGUUUUCCGGAUUUACUGGGUGUAAAGGGCGUGCAGCCGGGAAGACAAGUCAGAUGUGAAAGCCCGCGGCUCAACCGCGGAACUGCAUUUGAAACUGUUUUUCUUGAGUACCGGAGAGGUCAGCGGAAUUCCUUGUGUAGCGGUGAAAUGCGUAGAUAUAAGGAAGAACACCAGUGGCGAAGGCGGAUGACUGGACGGCAACUGACGGUGAGGCGCGAAAGCGUGGGGAGCAAACAGGAUUAGAUACCCUGGUAGUC